CCUUCUCGCGGCCUCAGUUUACCCUCUGUAAGACGCGGCGUGGAGAGCCGGCCCGGGCGCGGAUGGGGGCCCCCGGCGGAAGGCUCGCGGGCGCCCGCCCCUCGCCGCCCCGCCCCCGCGGCCGAGGCGCGCGCCACCUCGCGGCGGGAGGCGUGGGGGCGGGGCCCGCGACCCCGCCCCGCCCCCCGCCCUCGCCCCCCGCCGCCGCCGCCGCUGCCGCCGCCGCCGCCCGGGUCGAGCCCCCGCCGCCCGCGCGCCCGCCGCUCGCGGAGCCGCCCCCGCCCGCCCCUGCGCGCGUCCUCCCUCGCUCCCUGCGCAGCGGAAACAUGGCGGCGGGAAGGGAGUGAGCCGCCCCGCGUCGCCGCUGCGCCCGCAGGUAAGCGCCCGGGCGGCCGCCUCCGCUCCCCCGGCGAGCGCGCGCCCGGAGGGGCCUGGGCCGCCAGGGGCCGCCUCGGGCGGGAGGGCGGCGGCGGACCGGCCCGGCCGCUGCCCCCGCCCCUCGGGGCCCGGCUGUCUGUCCGUCUGUCGGGGCCGGUCGGCCUGUCUGUGGUCCGAGCGCGGCCGCAGCCCUUGCCCGCCGGGUCGGCCCGGCCCGGAGUCCCGGCGGCCCGUUCUGCCUUCGCGGCCGCGCCGGCGGGGCCCAGGGUCCGGCCGGCGGGCCUGACGCGGUGCGGGCGCCCCGGGGCCCCGGCGCGGGAAACCCAAGGACAGGGGGACAUUCGGAGGUGCGGCCUCGCGGGCGGUCGGGGCGGGGGUCGCUCUGUCCGGGCCGGCGGGGCUGGGGUCGGCCGGGUAGGGUGGGCUGGGGGCCGAGGGCCGGGGGUCGGGGUAGCUGUCAGUCUCCUCGGAGGCGAGAGCCGAGAGAUGUCUGUGGUCCUCGCCGGCCGGCUGGGCAUGGCCCGCCCGAGGGGCGGGGGCGGGGGGCCCGGAGCUGUCCGCAGCGGUCCUCGGGCUGGCUCCGGCGAGAGGGCUGCGCCGGGACAACUCACGUGUGCCGCCGGAAACGGGCGGGCAGAGCAGGUUUCAAACCUCAGACGGGGGCGGGAGGCGCUGGGCACCGAGGUGAGCCGGCGGCCGGGAGGGCUGGACACGUGGGCACAGCUGCGGGCCAGCUCCGAGAGGAGUGCCGAGGGCUUUCCAGGAGAUGGGUGA
rnacentral:lncRNA from 1 species